rfam:Microbacterium sp. TS-1 DNA, contig: MspTS1nb01.
UUCUGACCCGUGGCCGUGAUCCUCAGCCGCUGGCCCUGACGCACUUCCCCGGUGUCAGGUCGCAGCGGAGGGGGAUCAGGGCUCCGGGGCCGUCCCGC